GACGAACGCUGGCGGCGUGCUUAACACAUGCAAGUCGAACGGAAAGGCCCUGCUUUUGUGGGGUGCUCGAGUGGCGAACGGGUGAGUAACACGUGAGUAACCUGCCCUUGACUUUGGGAUAACUUCAGGAAACUGGGGCUAAUACCGGAUAGGAGCUCCUGCUGCAUGGUGGGGGUUGGAAAGUUUCGGCGGUUGGGGAUGGACUCGCGGCUUAUCAGCUUGUUGGUGGGGUAGUGGCUUACCAAGGCUUUGACGGGUAGCCGGCCUGAGAGGGUGACCGGCCACAUUGGGACUGAGAUACGGCCCAGACUCCUACGGGAGGCAGCAGUGGGGAAUAUUGCACAAUGGGCGGAAGCCUGAUGCAGCAACGCCGCGUGCGGGAUGACGGCCUUCGGGUUGUAAACCGCUUUCGCCUGUGACGAAGCGUGAGUGACGGUAAUGGGUAAAGAAGCACCGGCUAACUACGUGCCAGCAGCCGCGGUGAUACGUAGGGUGCGAGCGUUGUCCGGAUUUAUUGGGCGUAAAGGGCUCGUAGGUGGUUGAUCGCGUCGGAAGUGUAAUCUUGGGGCUUAACCCUGAGCGUGCUUUCGAUACGGGUUGACUUGAGGAAGGUAGGGGAGAAUGGAAUUCCUGGUGGAGCGGUGGAAUGCGCAGAUAUCAGGAGGAACACCAGUGGCGAAGGCGGUUCUCUGGGCCUUUCCUGACGCUGAGGAGCGAAAGCGUGGGGAGCGAACAGGCUUAGAUACCCUGGUAGUCCACGCUGUAAACGGUGGGUACUAGGUGUGGGGUCCAUUCCACGGGUUCCGUGCCGUAGCUAACGCUUUAAGUACCCCGCCUGGGGAGUACGGCCGCAGGGCUAAAACUCAAAGGAAUUGACGGGGCCCCGCACAAGCGGCGGAGCAUGCGGAUUAAUUCGAUGCAACGCGUAGAACCUUACCUGGGUUUGACAUGGAUCGGGAGUGCUCAGAGAUGGGUGUGCCUCUUUUGGGGUCGGUUCACAGGUGGUGCAUGGCUGUCGUCAGCUCGUGUCGUGAGAUGUUGGGUUAAGUCCCGCAACGAGCGCAACCCUUGUUCACUGUUGCCAGCACGUUAUGGUGGGGACUCAGUGGAGACCGCCGGGGUCAACUCGGAGGAAGGUGGGGACGACGUCAAGUCAUCAUGCCCCUUAUGUCCAGGGCUUCACGCAUGCUACAAUGGCUGGUACAGAGAGUGGCGAGCCUGUGAGGGUGAGCGAAUCUCGGAAAGCCGGUCUCAGUUCGGAUUGGGGUCUGCAACUCGACCUCAUGAAGUCGGAGUCGCUAGUAAUCGCAGAUCAGCAACGCUGCGGUGAAUACGUUCCCGGGGCU
rnacentral:rRNA from 1 species